rnacentral:rRNA from 1 species
UACGUAGGGGGCAAGCGUUGUCCGGAAUCAUUGGGCGUAAAGCGCGCGUAGGCGGCCCGGUAAGUCCGUUGUGAAAGUCAAAGGCUCAACCUUUGAACGCCGAUGGAUACUGCCGGGCUAGAGUCCGGAAGAGGCGAGUGGAAUUCCUGGUGUAGCGGUGAAAUGCGCAGAUAUCAGGAGGAACACCGGUGGCGAAGGCGGGUCUCUGGGCCGAAAUUGACGCUGAGGAGCGAAAGCGUGGGGAGCAAACAGG